GAUGAACGCUGGCGGCGUGCCUAAUACAUGCAAGUCGAGCGAAUGGAUUGAGAGCUUGCUCUCAAGAAGUUAGCGGCGGACGGGUGAGUAACACGUGGGUAACCUGCCCAUAAGACUGGGAUAACUCCGGGAAACCGGGGCUAAUACCGGAUAACAUUUUGAACUGCAUGGUUCGAAAUUGAAAGGCGGCUUCGGCUGUCACUUAUGGAUGGACCCGCGUCGCAUUAGCUAGUUGGUGAGGUAACGGCUCACCAAGGCAACGAUGCGUAGCCGACCUGAGAGGGUGAUCGGCCACACUGGGACUGAGACACGGCCCAGACUCCUACGGGAGGCAGCAGUAGGGAAUCUUCCGCAAUGGACGAAAGUCUGACGGAGCAACGCCGCGUGAGUGAUGAAGGCUUUCGGGUCGUAAAACUCUGUUGUUAGGGAAGAACAAGUGCUAGUUGAAUAAGCUGGCACCUUGACGGUACCUAACCAGAAAGCCACGGCUAACUACGU
rnacentral:rRNA from 1 species